UUCCAUAAAAUCCCCACGUGUCGUGAGAGGGACCCUGUGGGAAGUAAUUGGAUCAUGAGGGCAGUUACCCCAAUGCUGCUGUUCUUCUGAUCGUGAGUUCUCACGAGAUCUGAUGUUUUUAUAAGGGGCUUCCCCACAUCCACCUCGUUCGGCACUUCUUGCUGCCGCCUGUGAUGAAGGACGUGUUCGCUUCCCCUUCCACCGUGAUUAUUGCAAGACCAUCGGGCCAGGUGUGAUAUUGAAUAUGUUUGGUGCUUGGCAGCCUCCGUAAUGCAGACUUAUUAAGUACAGAGGCACUGGGGAAGAGCAAGACCUGCAGCUGAUACCAUGACUGCUUGGCAAAGGAGAAGGAAGACUUUUAAACCUCCUGGGAAUGAAAAUAAGCCAUUUCCUUCAGAAAAAGCAUGGAAAUACAGGACUGAGCUCUGGAAAAUUUGCCAAAAGAAGUGAAAAAUAGUAGGGUCUAAAAAGGUCAAAUAAUAACCACACAUCCAUGUACUUGCUCUGGUUUUCCAGUAGUUGGAUCUAAAACCUGCGAUUCAAAAUUUCUGGAUGAUUUUAAUGUGAUUUACUCAUCUUUUCUAUGAUUUAUUGACAAUAUCCAUCUACAGAUACUGACAGUGCAAAGGAUUAGAAAGAGUCCACAUAUCCAUGUGUUACAAGUUCUGCACAUGCAAUGUGAAGACCCCUAGCUCUAUCUAGUAGUUGUUUAAAUGGUCAGAAAAUUAUUCUUAGGUUGGGUCUUUUGUUUCCAAAGCAAGAUUUAUUUCUUAAAAGGAUGGCUGCACUUAUUAGAGGUUGUUAGGAUGCUAAGCAUGGCUUUAGGAUCAAAGAAGCUAUCAGAAGUUCAAAAUUUUAUGUCAGGAUAAAAAGUUUCAUCAUGAUCAUCAAACAGCUCCUAUGGAGGACUGCUACUUUCAGAAGAAUAACUUCUUUCAAAUUUGGAGAUGGUUAAAUGCUCCUAUUGGGAAAAGGGAUGGAGUUCUUUAAACUUUUCCUUGUAUUAAAUUCUGCCACAAGUUGUGUUAAAAGGACAUUAUCACUGAGAAAUCAACAUUCCUUUAAACUGAAGCAACUAGAGCACAUCCCACUUCAUGCAGGAUGUGGAGUUGAAGAUGAAGAACUGACAAAAGCAUUCCACACUUUCCCCUCAUGAAAUGGUCCAAGAGUUUAAAGCAGAGGUUCUUGUACUUUGGAGGUUUAAAUAACACUUCAAAAUCCUAGAAUUUUUUGCUCCGCACUUGAGGAGAUUUAAAGACUCACAAAUGCACUAAGCAAGCCAGUGAUCAUUACAACACAAUUGCAUGCAUCACAGGUCUUUAAAUUAUCCUGUAGUUACAGAGCACUAGCCCCUUACUUGUCCUUUAGCACUGUGGAUACUCUGCUUACUUCCCUAACUGCUGUACCCAUAAAUUCCCAAAGGAAAGUUCUGGAAUGUCCUAGUAAACAUGCAGGAUUGGAUUUUUUUUUUUUUUGGUAGUGCUUUGCAACAUUUUGUUGCAGAAAAUUGUAGCCAGCUAUUCACUGUGGUGCCCUACUUGCUCAGCUGGGCUAAUAUCUGUGGAUGACUCCGCAAUGGGUGAAGUUGAUAAAGACCUCUCUCACA
rnacentral:lncRNA from 1 species